GUCUAUAUGCAUUUUUAAUAUCGCUUUAUAUCCUUACGUUUCACAAAUAAAAUUGCAAGCAAAAGAAACAACAUGUAUGGUGUUUGGAGUUUCUUGUCGCGAUAAACUUGGGCAAAACGCAAGAGAAAUAUUUCUAAAUAAACAAAAAAACAAGCAAAUACGCAUAUACACAAAAGUACAUGAAUGAAUUUUUAUAAAAUAAAUUUUAAAAAAAAUAGGCCUCUUUAACUCAUAAUUUAAUACGCUCGUAAGGUGUUUUGGAGCAUAUGGAAAGACUUGCUCCGCUUUACAUGGAAAUGUGAUCGUGUGCUUAAACCCAUCAGAUUGAUCUACACUUUCACCUUCAACUUUUGUUUUGCCUCAGAGUAAAGCCUGAUAGGGAGAUGCAUGUGGGACGUCUACCAGCCCGUUGCUGCUAUGAUCGCUGCGCAGCCACUCGUUACAAAGUUAAAAGAAGCUCUAAAGCAGUCUAACGUUCUUUGCGUCAAGAAAAAGAGAUUGAAGUUUGCAAAUGGUGAAGCAAGUUUAAUCAAUAUGUGGCGGAAAUUAGUUGAUAAUGACGUGCAACAAAUUACAAGGCACCAAGUAAAUUUCUCACUGUAAAGAGUACAGUUUUAUUAUUAAAAAGGCAAAUGGAUUAUGAAGCGGCUGCACCAAUAAGUUGUUGCAACACAAAAAAAGGAGUUAUUACAAGGAAUCAACGAAUUUCUAAAGAAUAUUUAGAUAUGCAAAUGAUAAAUGGCGGCCAAGACAAUUAGUCUGUUAUAUAAAUUCAUCUAAAAUUCCACUAUACGAAUUUAUGGGCGACCACGAAGUUUCGUCUGGCUUCUAUAUGAUUCAUAAGUAAGUGAACACCAGUUAUAACCUAUAUUACAGAUACAAAAAAAAAAAAGGAUUAAACAAUUUACCAGGAGAAGCGAAGAUUUUUCAGAAUAUUUCUAAUGAAGCGAACAAUAUAUUGAAGAAGACGAUCAAAUUAUCGCUUUUCACCAACCUUGUCAUUUAAGAAUGGAUUGACCGACUUCUGAUGUACUUU